UACGUAGGGGGCAAGCGUUGUCCGGAUUCAUUGGGCGUAAAGAGCGUGUAGGCGGCCAGAUAGGUCAGCUGUGAAAACUCGAGGCUCAACCUCGAGACGUCGGUUGAAACCAUCUGGCUAGAGUCCGGAAGAGGAGUGUGGAAUUCCCGGUGUAGCGGUGAAAUGCGCAGAUAUCGGGAAGAACACCAGUGGCGAAGGCGGCGCUCUGGGACGGUACUGACGCUGAGACGCGAAAGCGUGGGGAGCGAACAGG
rnacentral:rRNA from 1 species